GACAGAGGUCCCGAGCGUUAGGCGGAAUCACUGGGCUUAAAGCGUGUUAGGCGGAUGCCUAAGUACCUUGUGAAAUCCCACGGCUCACCCGUGGAACUGCUUGGUAUACUGGGUGUCUUGAGCCACUUAGGGGCUACCGGAACAAAUGGUGGAGCGGUGAAAUGCGUAGAUAUCAUUUGGAACGCCAAUGGUGAAAACAGGUAGCUGGGAGUGUGCUGACGCUGAGACACGAAAGCCAGGGGAGCAAACGGG
rnacentral:rRNA from 1 species